GACGAACGCUGGCGGCGUGCUUAACACAUGCAAGUCGAACGGAAAGGCCCUGCUUUUGUGGGGUGCUCGAGUGGCGAACGGGUGAGUAACACGUGAGUAACCUGCCCUUGACUUUGGGAUAACUUCAGGAAACUGGGGCUAAUACCGGAUAGGAGCUCCUGCUGCAUGGUGGGGGUUGGAAAGUUUCGGCGGUUGGGGAUGGACUCGCGGCUUAUCAGCUUGUUGGUGGGGUAGUGGCUUACCAAGGCUUUGCCGGGUAGCCGGCCUGAGAGGGUGACCGGCCACAUUGGGACUGCGAUACGGCCCAGACUCCUACGGGAGGCAGCAGUGGGGAAUAUUGCACAAUGGGCGGAAGCCGGAUGCAGCAACGCCGCGUGCGGGAUGACGGCCUUCGGGUUGUAAACCGCUUUCGCCUGUGACGAAGCGUGAGUGACGGUAAUGGGUAAAGAAGCACCGGCUAACUACGUG
rnacentral:rRNA from 1 species